rnacentral:rRNA from 1 species
UGAACGCUGGCGGCGUGCCUAACACAUGCAAGUCGAGCGGGGAGGAGGAAGCUUGCUUCCGAAUCCUAGCGGCGGACGGGUGAGUAACGCGUGAGCAACCUGCCUCUUACAGGGGGAUAACGCAUCGAAAGAUGUGCUAAUACCGCGUAAGACCACAGCAUCACAUGGUGCAGGGGUCAAAGGAGCAAUCCGGUAAGAGAUGGGCUCGCGUCCGAUUAGCUAGUUGGCGGGAUAACAGCCCACCAAGGCGACGAUCGGUAGCCGACCUGAGAGGGUGAUCGGCCACAUUGGAACUGAGAUACGGUCCAGACUCCUACGGGAGGCAGCAGUGGGGAAUUUUCGGCAAUGGGGGGAACCCUGACCGAGCAACGCCGCGUGAACGAUGAAGGCCUUCGGGUCGUAAAGUUUUGUUGUUUAGGAUGAAUGAUACGUAUAGGGAAUGAUAUGUAAGUGACAGUACUAGACGAGGAAGUCACGGCUAACUACGUG